rnacentral:lncRNA from 1 species
CCCAGGCAAGCGCAGGCACAGGAGACCGCCUCCGUCUCCCUCCCCUUCUCCUCAGAUGCCCUUUGCUGCUGCUGCAGCAGGGUUAUUAUUACAGUAUGUGGCUGUUCCCUGUUCUCUCCUCCCUUCUUCCUCCUCCCCGCUCCCCGCCCCUCAGCGGUCGACCGCUGCCUGCGCGGGGGGGACAGCUGCGGCCCGCCCCGUCGCUCACCUCAGCCCCCUUCUACCCCCGGCUCUGGCCGGCAGAGCGCGGAAGCUACCCCGACUCCCAGACGGCGCGGGGGACGCGGGACUGCGGAUUAUUGCCGACUAAGCAGUCUGAUCAUGUAGAAAGGACAGAAAGUGAGCAGGGAGCGGGGGCUUUUAUCUAUUGUUCUCCUUGUGCUUCUUGAGAGAAACUGCAGCCCCAAGACUUAACAGAAUCAAAAAAUG